rnacentral:rRNA from 1 species
GACGAACGCUGGCGGCGUGCUUAACACAUGCAAGUCGAACGGAAAGGCCCUGCUUUUGUGGUGCGCUCGAGUGGCGAACGGGUGUGAAACACGUGAGUACCCUCCCCUUGACUUUGGUAUAACUUCGGGAAACUGUGUAUAAUACCGUAUACGUGUUCCUGCUGCAUGGGGGGUGUUGGAAAGUUUUGGCGGUUGGGGAUGGACCCGCGGCUUAUCAGCUUGUUGGUGGGGUAAUGGCUUACCAAGGCGUUGACGGGUAGCCGGCCUGAGAGGGUGACCGGCCACAUUGGGACUGAGAUACGGCCCAGACUCCUACGGGAGGCAGCAGUGGGGAAUAUUGCACAAUGGGCGGAAGCCUGAUGCAGCAACGCCGCGUGAGGGAUGACGGCCUUCGGGUUGUAAACCGCUUUCGGCUGCGACGAAGCGUAAGUGACGGUAAUGGCUAAAGAAGCACCGGCUAACUACGUG